GUGAGGAAUUUUCCGCAAUGGGCGAAAGCCUGACGGAGCAAUGCCGCGUGAAGGAUGAUGGCCUAUGGGUUGUAAACUUCUUUUCUUAGAGAAGAAUAUUGAGGGUAUAUGAGGAAUAAGCAUCGGCUAACUCUGUGUCAGCAGCUGCGGUAAGACAGAGGACGCAAGCGUUAUCCGGAAUGAUUGGGCGUAACGCGUCUGUAGGUGGCUUCAAAAGUCUCCGCUCAAGGGUCAGGGCUUAACCCUGGUCCGGCAGGAGAAACUAUGAGGCUAGAGUGUGGUAGGGGCAGAGGGAAUUCCCGGUGGAGCGGAGAAAUGCGUAGAGAUCGGGAGGAACACCAAAGGCGAAAGCACUCUGCUGGGCCACAACUGACGCUGAGAGACGAAAGCGAGGGGAGCAAAAGGGAUUAGAUACCCUAGUAGUCC
rnacentral:rRNA from 1 species